UUUCGCUAUGAACCCAACUAGAUUUAACAAGGGUGGAUCCCCCUGUGCGGCGGGGCAAUCCGGUUGAUGUAAUGUAAAUAUGCUUGCGGCUCGUAUAACCGGUAACGAGCCACCGGGAGGCACCCGGCAACUGUAUCAGAAUCUGGUAAGUGCUUUUUGAGCCUGUCCCUCCGGGCAGGCUUUUUUUUCUAC
rnacentral:sRNA from 1 species